AUUGAACGCUGGCGGCAUGCCUUACACAUGCAAGUCGAACGGCAGCACGGGAGCAAUCCUGGUGGCGAGUGGCGAACGGGUGAGUAAAGUAUCGGAACGUGCCCAGUCGUGGGGGAUAACGUAGCGAAAGUUACGCUAAUACCGCAUACGAUCUAUGGAUGAAAGCGGGGGAUCGCAAGACCUCGCGCGAUUGGAUCGGCCGAUAUCAGAUUAGGUAGCUGGUGGGGUAAAGGCUCACCAAGCCGACGAUCUGUAGCUGGUCUGAGAGGACGACCAGCCACACUGGGACUGAGACACGGCCCAGACUCCUACGGGAGGCAGCAGUGGGGAAUUUUGGACAAUGGGCGAAAGCCUGAUCCAGCCAUGCCGCGUGCAGGAUGAAGGUCUUCGGGUUGUAAACUGCUUUUGUACGGAACGAAAAGGUUUGGCCUAAUAAGCUGAGCUCAUGACGGUACCGUAAGAAUAAGCACCGGCUAACUACGUGCCAGCCGCCGCCGUAA
rnacentral:rRNA from 1 species